AUGGACGUUUUCCUCCCACCUUCUCGGAUCCAUGCCAUCCCUUUGAAAGGAAACAGCCCUGAGAUGUCUCUUCGGUGUGAAAUUCUCAUUGCUGAAGAAUUUCAGCACAGGAUUAUAGAGAAUCUUAUAAGUUCCAAUUACUGUGCAUUUAGAGUAUAAUAUCACAAUGCCAAAACAAUUUCAGCGACAUGGUGGGCAGCGCGGAAUCCAUUGAAUUAUCAUUUGGAAGACAUUACUGCCCAAAUUAGCAAAUGCCAAAAUGAUUUUAAUGUUCAUUUAUGAUCUCCUC
rnacentral:lncRNA from 1 species